rnacentral:rRNA from 2 species
UGCUGGAGGUAUCAGAAGUGCGAAUGCUGACAUAAGUAACGAUAAAGCGGGUGAAAAGCCCGCUCGCCGGAAGACCAAGGGUUCCUGUCCAACGUUAAUCGGGGCAGGGUGAGUCGACCCCUAAGGCGAGGCCGAAAGGCGUAGUCGAUGGGAAACGGGUUAAUAUUCCCGUACUUGGUGUUACUGCGAAGGGGGGACGGAGAAGGCUAUGUUGGCCGGGCGACGGUUGUCCCGGUUUAAGCGUGUAGGUGUGUGUUCCAGGUAAAUCCGGUUCACUUUAACACUGAGGCGUGACGACGAGGCACUACGGUGCUGAAGCAACAAAUGCCCUGCUUCCAGGAAAAGCCUCUAAGCAUCAGGUAACAUCAAAUCGUACCCCAAACCGACACAGGUGGUCAGGUAGAGAAUACCAAGGCGCUUGAGAGAACUCGGGUGAAGGAACUAGGCAAAAUGGUGCCGUAACUUCGGGAGAAGGCACGCUGACACGUAGGUGAAGUGAUUUACUCAUGGAGCUGAAGUCAGUCGAAGAUACCAGCUGGCUGCAACUGUUUAUUAAAAACACAGCACUGUGCAAACACGAAAGUGGACGUAUACGGUGUGACGCCUGCCCGGUGCCGGAAGGUUAAUUGAUGGGGUCAGCGCAAGCGAAGCUCCUGAUCGAAGCCCCGGUAAACGGCGGCCGUAACUAUAACGGUCCUAAGGUAGCGAAAUUCCUUGUCGGGUAAGUUCCGACCUGCACGAAUGGCGUAAUGAUGGCCAGGCUGUCUCCACCCGAGACUCAGUGAAAUUGAACUCGCUGUGAAGAUGCAGUGUACCCGCGGCAAGACGGAAAGACCCCGUGAACCUUUACUAUAGCUUGACACUGAACAUUGAGCCUUGAUGUGUAGGAUAGGUGGGAGGCUUUGAAGUGUGGACGCCAGUCUGCAUGGAGCCGACCUUGAAAUACCACCCUUUAAUGUUUGAUGUUCUAACGUGGACCCGU